GACAGAGGGUGCAAACGUUGUUCGGAAUUACUGGGCGUAAAGCGCGUGUAGGCUGCUCAGAAAGUCGGAUGUGAAAGCCCUGGGCUUAACCUAGGAAGUGCAUUCGAAACUUCUGAGCUUGAGUUCUGGAGAGGAAGGCGGAAUUCUCGGUGUAGAGGUGAAAUUCGUAGAUAUCGAGAGGAACACCGGUGGCGAAGGCGGUUCUCUGGGACGGUACUGACGCUGAGACGCGAAAGCGUGGGGAGCGAACAGG
rnacentral:rRNA from 1 species